GUGGGGAAUAUUGGACAAUGGGCGAAAGCCUGAUCCAGCCAUGCCGCGUGUGUGAAGAAGGUCUUCGGAUUGUAAAGCACUUUAAGUUGGGAGGAAGGGCAGUAAGUUAAUACCUUGCUGUUUUGACGUUACCGACAGAAUAAGCACCGGCUAACUUCGUGCCAGCAGCCGCGGUAAUACGAAGGGUGCAAGCGUUAAUCGGAAUUACUGGGCGUAAAGCGCGCGUAGGUGGUUUUGUAAGUUGGAGGUGAAAUCCCCGGGCUCAACCUGGGAACUGCCUCCAAAACUGCAUGACUAGAGUACGGUAGAGGGUAGUGGAAUUUCCUGUGUAGCGGUGAAAUGCGUAGAUAUAGGAAGGAACACCAGUGGCAAAGGCGACUACCUGGACUGAUACUGACACUGAGGUGCGAAAGCGUGGGGAGCAAACAGGAUUAGAAACCCGAGUAGUCC
rnacentral:rRNA from 1 species